rnacentral:rRNA from 1 species
UACGGGAGGUGCGAGCGUUGUUCGGAAUGACUGGGCGUAAAGCGCACGUAGGCGGGUCUUUAAGUCGGAUGUGAAAGCCCAAGGCUUAACCUUGGAAUUGCAUUCGAAACUGAAGAUCUUGAAUACCUGAGAGGUUGAUGGAAUUCUUGGUGUAGGAGUGAAAUCCGUAGAUAUCAAGAGGAACACCGGAGGCGAAGGCGGUCAACUGGUGGUGUAUUGACGCUGAGGUGCGAAAGCGUGGGUAGCAAACAGG